rnacentral:rRNA from 1 species
UCGAACGCAGUAGCAAUACUGAGUGGCAAACGGGUGAGUAUAAUGUGGGAAUCUGCCUUUUGGUUUGGAAUAACACGGGGAAACUUGUGCUAAUACCGGAUAAGCCCUUACGGGGAAAGUUUUAACGCCGAAAGAUGAGCCUGCACUUGAUUAGCUAGUUGGUAAGGUAAAAGCUUACCAAGGCAACGAUCAAUAGCUGUUCUUAGAGGAAGACCAGCCACAUUGGGACUGAGACACGGCCCAGACUCCUACGGGAGGCAGCAGUGGGGAAUCUAGCACAAUGGGGGAAACCCUGAUGCAGCGAUGCCGCGUGAGUGAAGAAGGCCUUUGGGUUGUAAAACUCUUUCGUCGGGGAAGAAAAUGACUGUACCCGAAUAAGAAGGUCCGGCUAACUUCGUGCCAGCAGCCGCGGCAAUACGAAGGGACCUAGCGUAGUUCGGAAUUACUGGGCUUAAAGAGCUCGUAGGUGGUUAAAAAAGUUGAUGGUGAAAUCCCAAGGCUCAACCUUGGAACUGCCAUCAAAACUUUUUAGCUAGAGCGUGAUAGAGGUAAGUGGAAUUUCUAGUGUAGAGGUGAAAUUCGUAGAUAUUAGAAAGAACACCAAAUGCGAAGGCAACUUACUGGGUCACUACUGACACUGAGGAGCGAAAGCAUGGGUAGCGAAGAGGAUUAGAUACCCUCGUAGUCCAUGCCGUAAACGAUGUGUGCUAGACGUUGGAAAUUUAUUUUUCAGUGUCGCAGCGAAAGCAUUAAGCACACCGCCUGGGGAGUACGACCGCAAGGUUAAAACUCAAAUGAAUUGACGGGGGACCCGCACAAGCAGUGGAGCAUGUGGUUUAAUUC